rnacentral:rRNA from 1 species
AAGCAGGUCAUAGUGAUCCGGUGGUUCUGAAUGGAAGGGCCAUCGCUCAACGGAUAAAAGGUACUCCGGGGAUAACAGGCUGAUACCGCCCAAGAGUUCAUAUCGACGGCGGUGUUUGGCACCUCGAUGUCGGCUCAUCACAUCCUGGGGCUGAAGUAGGUCCCAAGGGUAUGGCUGUUCGCCAUUUAAAGUGGUACGCGAGCUGGGUUUAGAACGUCGUGAGACAGUUCGGUCCCUAUCUGCCGUGGGCGCUGGAGAAUUGAGGGGGGCUGCUCCUAGUACGAGAGGACCGGAGUGGACGCAUCACUGGUGUUCGGGUUGUCAUGCCAAUGGCACUGCCCGGUAGCUAAAUGCGGAAGAGAUAAGUGCUGAAAGCAUCUAAGCACGAAACUUGCCCCGAGAUGAGUUCUCCCUGACUCUUUGAGAGUCCUGAAGGAACGUUGAAGACGACGACGUUGAUAGGCCGGGUGUGUAAGCGCAGCGAUGCGUUGAGCUAACCGGUACUAAUGAACCGUGAGGCUUAACCUU